GUAAUCGCUGUAACACGCAAGUGUUGCUGAGGAAAGUCCAUGCACGCACGGUUCUGAGAUGACCGUAGUGAUCGUGUUUCGCGAAUAAAUAAGCGGAAGUAGCUGAAAUGCUAACGGCGGAAGGAAAACCUAAGUCUUAGGAUAUGGUUGACACUUCAUGAAAGUGCCACAGUGACGAAGUCUGCUUGGAAACUUGUAGAGUGGAACGAGGUAAACCCCACGAGUGUGCAACCCAAAUUAUGGUAGGGGCGUCGUAUCGAAGGAAUUGAACGGAGAUAUGGAUCCAUCGUAUUUACACGAUGGGUAGAUAGAUGAUUACUACCCGGCGUACGAGGCUUUGGCCGCUUGAGUACUAGGGCACAAAACAUGGCUUAUA
rnacentral:RNase_P_RNA from 1 species